rnacentral:rRNA from 1 species
UACGGAGGAGGCAAGCGUUAUCCGGAAUUAUGGGGCGUAAAGCGUCCGCAGGUGGCACCUCAAGUCUGCUGUCAAAGACCGGGGCUUAACCCCAGAAAGGCAGUGGAAACUGAAGUGCUAGAGUGCAGUAGGGGUAGAGGGAAUUCCCGGUGUAGCGGUGAAAUGCGUAGAGAUCGGGAAGAACAUCGGUGGCGAAAGCGCUCUGCUGGACUGCAACUGACACUCAGGGACGAAAGCUAGGGGAGCGAAUGGG